UCUUAUGACAAUAAAUACCUUGGGGCCUUAAAUGCACCAAAUCUUGUCCGAUCUUUGAAGUUUAGCAGGGCUAGCUCUGAUUAGUACUUGGAUAAGAUGUGGCAAGAGGGUUAUAAAAU
rnacentral:rRNA from 11 species